rnacentral:lncRNA from 1 species
GUGGAGACUUGUAAACCGGAGUUGGUGGUGGUGGAGACUUGUAUACUGGUGCAGGAUGGUGUGGUGUUGGUGAAGGAUGGUAUGGAUUCACUGGUGGUGGUGACUUGUAAACGGGUGUUGGUGGUGGUGGAGAUUUGUAUACUGGUGCAGGGUGGUAUGACUUCACUGGUGGUGGUGGUGACUGGUAAACGGGUGUUGGUGGUGGUGGAGACUUAUAAACUGGUGCAGGAUGAUAUGGCUUCACUGGUGAUGGUGGUGACUUGUAAACGGGUGUUGGUGGUGGUGGAGACUUAUAAAUUGGUGUGGGAUGAUAUGGUGUUGGUGGAGGAUAGUAUGGCCUCUUAGGUGGUGGUGGUGACUUGUAAACUGGAGUUGGUGGUGGUGGCGACUUGUACACUGGAGUGUGUGGCGGGUAGUAUGGCUUUUUGGGUGGUGGUGGGGACUUGUAAACUGGAGUUGGGGGUGGUGGAGACUUGUAAACUGGGGUGUGUGGAGGGUAGUGUGGUGGUGACUUGUAAACUGGAGUCGGGGGUGGUGGAGACUUGUAAACUGGGGUGUGUGGAGGAUAAUGUGGCUUCUUUGGUGGUGGUGGGGACUUGUAAACUGGAGUGUGUGGAGGAUAGUGUGGCUUCUUCGGUGGUGGUGGUGACUUGUAAACAGGAGUUGGUGGUGGUGGCGACUUGUGAACUGGUGCGGGAUGAUAAGGUGUUGGUGAAGGGUGGUAUGGCUUCUUAGGUGGUGGUGGAGAUUUGUAAACAGGAUGAUGAUGGUGUGGUGGAGGGGACUUAUAUACUGGGUGGUGAUGGUUUGGUGGAGGAGACUUAUAUACUGGGUGGUGGGGUGGAGAUGGAUAGACAUGCACUGGUGGAGGAGGAGAUGAAUAAUGAUAAUUUGCAGAGCUUUCAGAAGCUAAGCUAAGUGACACUAAAACCACCAAAAGAGUGGCAACUAGAGAGGCCAUUUUCCCCAUAUU